rnacentral:lncRNA from 1 species
AACAAACCCAGUGUAUUCCCACCUAGUGGGGUCUGGGUGGGGGGGUAAGAUGUACGCAGUCCAUACCUCUACCUCUAAAGAAGUAGAAAGGCUGUUUCCGAUAGACCCCCGGCUCAAGUCACAAGAUACCACACAAACUCAUAGUAAAGCACAGAACUAGAUUACAUAACAUAAAUACUGCACCCAUAAGUAUUAGAAAACAGAGGAAAGCACACAGAUUCGUAAUAAAACAUGGAACACGGAAUCAUAACAAAAAUAAAACCCCCACCAGGUAAUUCCUUACACUAGCGACCCAAAUCGGCCCUAGUCUUCUGCCCUAAUUCGCGUCCUCCAGACCGUCCUAUCUAGGUCAUGUCCUCGGUGAGUUGUAACUGCUCCAUGUCCCGCCUAAUCACCUCACCCCAGUACUUCUUCGGUCUACCCCUACCCCGCCUAAAACCAUCUAACGCUAGCCUCUCACACCUACGAACCGGGGCAUCCAUGCCCCUCCUCUUCACGUGUCCGAACCAUCUCAAUCGGGCUUCCCGCAUCUUGCACUCCACCGGAGUCACACCAACCUUCUCCCGGAUAGUCUN